rnacentral:rRNA from 1 species
UGGGGAAUUUUGGGCAAUGGGCGAAAGCCUGACCCAGCAACGCCGCGUGAAGGAUGAAGUAUUUCGGUAUGUAAACUUCGAAAGAAUAGGAAGAAUAAAUGACGGUACUAUUUAUAAGGUCCGGCUAACUACGUGCCAGCAGCCGCGGUAAUACGUAGGGACCAAGCGUUGUUCGGAUUUACUGGGCGUAAAGGGCGCGUAGGCGGCAAUUCAAGUCAUCUGUGAAAUCUCCGGGCUUAACUCGGAACGGUCAGAUGAUACUGCUUUGCUAGAGUGCAGAAGGGGCAAUCGGAAUUCUUGGUGUAGCGGUGAAAUGCGUAGAUAUCAAGAGGAACACCUGAGGUGAGGACGGGUUGCUGGGCUGACACUGACGCUGAGGCGCGAAAGCCAGGGGAGCAAACGGGAUUAGAUACCCCAGUAGUCCCUGAGCGGGCUGGCAAGGCGC